GAUGAACGCUAGCUACAGGCUUAACACAUGCAAGUCGAGGGGUAACGAGAGGGAAGCUUGCUUUCCUUGUCGACGACCGGCGGAUGGGUGAGUAACGCGUAUCCAACCUGCCCUUCAGUAAGGGAUAGCCUUUCGAAAGAAAGAAUAAUACCUUAUGUGGUCGUCUGAUGACACCAGACGACGAUCAAAGAUUUAUCGCUGAAGGAUGGGGAUGCGUCCCAUUAGGCAGUAGGCGGGGUAACGGCCCACCUAACCUACGAUGGGUAGGGGUUCUGAGAGGAAGGUCCCCCACAUUGGAACUGAGACACGGUCCAAACUCCUACGGGAGGCAGCAGUGAGGAAUAUUGGUCAAUGGCCGUAAGGCUGAACCAGCCAAGUAGCGUGCAGGAUGACGGCCCUAUGGGUUGUAAACUGCUUUUAAACGGGGAUAAAGUGAGCCACGUGUGGUUUAUUGCAGGUACCGUUUGAAUAAGGACCGGCUAAUUCCGUGCCAGCCGCCGCGGUAACAC
rnacentral:rRNA from 1 species